GCCGGGGUAGCUCAGCGGCAGAGCAGCCGCCUUGUAAGCGGCAGGUCGUGAGUUCAAUCCUCACCCCGGCACCA
rnacentral:tRNA from 1 species